AGAGGUUUAGGUUAAGACAUAGACCAAGGGCCUUCAAAGCCCUAAGUAAGUACACACUACUUAACCCCUG
rnacentral:tRNA from 1 species